rnacentral:SRP_RNA from 1 species
GCCAUGGUCCCAGUUACUCAGGAGGCAGAGGUGGGAGGAUGGCUUGAGCCCAGGAGCUCUGGGCUGUAGUGUGCUACGCCCAUCGAGUGUCUGCAAUAAGUUCAUCAUGACUAUGGUGACCUCCCCGGAGUGGGGAACCACCAGGCUGCCUAAGGAGGGUUGAACCCGCCCAGGUCGGACACAGAGCAGGUCAAAACCCACGUGCUGAUCAGUAGUGGGAUGGCGCCUGUGAAUAGCCACUGCACUCCAGCCUGGGCAACACAGUGAGACCCCAUCUCA